rnacentral:rRNA from 1 species
AACGAACGCUGGCGGCAGACCUAACACAUGCAAGUCGAGCGGGACCUUCGGGUCUAGCGGCGGACGGGUUAGUAACGCGUGGGAACGUGCCCAAAGGUACGGAAUAGCCUCGGGAAACUGAGAGUAAUACCGUAUGUGCCCCUCGGGGGAAAGAUUUAUCGCCUUUGGAUCGGCCCGCGUUGGAUUAGGUAGUUGGUGGGGUAAUGGCCUACCAAGCCGACGAUCCAUAGCUGGUUUGAGAGGAUGAUCAGCAACACUGGGACUGAGACACGGCCCAGACUCCUACGGGAGGCAGCAGUGGGGAAUCUUAGACAAUGGGGGAAACCCUGAUCUAGCCAUGCCGCGUGAGCGAUGAAGGCCUUAGGGUUGUAAAGCUCUUUCAGAUGGGAAGAUAAUGACGGUACCAUCAGAAGAAGCCCCCGGCUAACUCCGUG